GGUGGCUCAGUGGUAGAGCACUUGCCUUGCAAUCACGAGACCCUGGGUUCAAUUCCUCAGCACCA
rfam:Dipodomys ordii contig_63344, whole genome shotgun sequence.